rnacentral:rRNA from 1 species
UACGGAGGAUGCAAGCGUUAUCCGGAUUUAUUGGGUUUAAAGGGUGCGUAGGCGGGAUAGUAAGUCAGUGGUGAAAGCCUGCGGCUCAACCGUAGAAUUGCCGUUGAUACUGUUAUCCUUGAGUCCAGUUGAGGUGAGCGGAAUGUGUAAUGUAGCGGUGAAAUGCUUAGAUAUUACACAGAACACCAAUUGCGUAGGCAGCUCACUAAGCUGAAACUGACGCUGAGGCACGAAAGCGUGGGGAGCGAACAGG